rnacentral:lncRNA from 10 species
GCUCCCCCAUUCAGGGAGCAUGUGCAGAAUGCCAGCUUAGAAGCCAAGAAUGCUGGAGAGUGAAUCCAAAAAAGGAGUUCUCUUUGGAGGAAGAAGGAAACAAUGUUGAAAAGAAAGGGCAUAAAAAGAGAAUGAGGUAAGUCUGUCUUUUGAGUGAGUUGAGUCUUCUCUUUCAGAGAAUCAUCUGAUGAAAUUCCAGGCUCCUGAAAGGUUGGAGGAAGAGUCAGGGAAGCAGGGAUAUAGCAAGCCCAUAAUGACAACUAACACCUCCAAAACUGAAUAGGGCUAGAUGAAAUGUAAUGGAACCUUCAGAUAUAUGAAGAUUUAAUUUCGCACAAGUGUUGCCAACAGUCAUGUUCUGAGAGCUGCUACUGUAGAAGGAAAAAACAAGCAUGCUAGGACCCCGGAUUAUGGUUCAGCAAACACAGAUGAAUAAUCCACAAAGAUAAAGCAAAGCCAACGAAUUCAAGAGCAAUUGCCAAACACCCUACCACCCCCACCCCGGCCCCCAGUAAAAAGACAGCCAAAGCUAUGAGAACAUCUCUCUUCUCACUCUCCAAGCUGGGCGUGAGUGUCAACAGCAGCCCAGAUUGGAGGCCCAGAACCUACUGAAGAUUCCAGAAGCCUGCCAGGCUCCUUUGCCAGAGAAGAAGAAUAAAAAACAACCCACUGAAAACUUCAGUUGUUCAGGUAAGAUCAACAAACUAGAUGAGUGAAAGGGAGCCAGAAGCAGAAACGGGACAAGGAAAUAGACUAUUAGUGUGACAAGCGCUCCGAUAUGGACUGCCACAAGGAUAUAGCUUCUCCGUGAGUAAAAUGGAAGUGAUACCACCUAUCUCACAGAGCAGCUCUGAAGGCCAAAAAGAUGACACAUACAAAGCACUUAGCACCAUGCCUAGAAUAAUUAAUACUUCUCAGAUCCUCUUUAUCUCAGCUCAACACACUCCCAACUGGUCCAACAAGUUCCCAAAAGUGUCUGAGAGAGCUGUAAAAUACAGAUUCCUAGGCUCCACUCCAGAUCUACAAAAUUAGUAUGUCUGGGGAGAAGGCCCAGAUGAUUCUGAUACACAUUUCCAUGGGGAACCACUGGAUAGGACCAUAUCAUUAGCCCACAUCAGUCUAACUUUCAGAGGAAAAGCAAGAGGAAUCCACAUUUUUUGGAAACCUACACUGUGCUUGAUGCAGUGCUAGCAGCUUUCACUUGAAAGAUACAUUUGUCUCUUUCUCAUAAUUUCUCACAGUUCACCAGGGUGAGGCUAGGUGACAAUGAUUUGAAAAAGUUAUAUGACACAGAACACAGAUAUAACAUAUAUUUUCAUCCCUGUAACUCUAGCCUCGCCAGGGAAUUGCUCCUGGGAUUACAGUUGACCCUAGUUUUCCUCCUGGUUCCUGCGUUUGAAACCCAUUUCACUUUAUUAAAAAACCUUCUAUAUUGUCCAACCUAUACUAAUAACAAUAGUAAUACUAUCAGUUAAUGUCAGGCCAAGCAGCUCAUGCCUGUAAUCCCAGCACUUUAAGAGGCCGAGCUGGGCAGCUUAGAUGAGUCCAGCAAUUUGAGACCAGCCUGGGCAACAUGGUGAAGCCCCGUCUCAACAAAAAAUAUUAAAAAAAAUAAAUAAAAAUUUAUAUUUUUUGUUGAGACGGGGCUUCACCAUGUUGCCCAGGCAUUAACUGGAAGAAACAGAAACAAGGAAUUAAGUGUGUUCACAUUCUUUGAUCUAAGGACUAGAGGCAGGACUGAGAAAGCAGCAGAGAAUGAAUUCACCUGACUUUACUGCCAUCGUGUGGUCGUCUCAUGCAUAGACAACUGGCUCACAAUUCUGCAUUCAUUUUUCCAGUCAUUGAGCCUACUAGGCCCUCUGCAAGGCAAUGUGAAAAUAAGGCCAAUUGAAUCAGAAGACCUGACCUUGAGGCUAUUGUAACAGCCUUGCUUUCCUCUGGAGUCACCAAGCUGGAAGUCACCUUAGUCACCAACUACUCCAGGGGUGAGCACCUCAUUCUCAUGCAGACUAUGUCAGAAAAGAUAGAAAUGUUUAUAAGCACCGUCAUUAUUUUUCUAUUCAAAAUGAAAGUAGCUUAGUGGCCUAUGGGAUGUAUAGAGUCUCAUUACUUUAAGCACCUCACUAUUUUUAAUAGAAGAUGAUCAGUGAGAAAAUCUAAUGGUAAAUUAGCUUUCUAAUCUGUUAUGCCUUGUACCUGUAGAGCAUUGUUUUCAUAAAGCACAUUUAUCUGCAUGUUGUCAUGUUAUGGCCAAAACAAUUUUGGAAGGUAGGUAUAUUAGUCCAUUCUCAUGCUGCUAUGAA